CCUCUUCAAAUUCACAGAACCAAGGCCUAUAUUCGUCCUGUCUCUUCGGGGACUAUGGACAUAAAUGCGCUCGUAAUAAGCGGAUCGGACCCGGGGGCGGUACCCGGCGUCUCCACCAAACAUCCUUCAUUUGGGGAUCAUGGGGACGAAAUAGGAUCGACGAACGUCUAAAGGGGUUAGCUUUGUCUCGGCUGUCUGCCACCGUUACCGGCGAAAACUGUACAAUUGCAAAUGACAAUCGUGCUCCGGUAGCCCUCGCUGCGUAAGCAGUUCGGAAAACCGAAAACUUAAGUCCUCUCGCUUUGCAGCGUUUGGCGGGGUUCGCAGGUACCUGGCAACAGAAACCUGCACU
rnacentral:tmRNA from 1 species